rnacentral:ribozyme from 20 species
ACUCGACUAAGCGAGUAUAAACAGGCAUUAGGCUUAGAGCGUUCUCACGUUAUCUGAAUGAUGAUGUGAGAGGUUGCA